GUAUACAUAUAUAAAUACAUGCAUAUAUAUACGAGAAGGAUAUACUGUGAAUACAUUAGCUGUAAACCAGUCAUACAUCCUCUUAGUCGAUCCUACCUGUUUAGUGUCACGUACUGCACAAUUAUAAAUCUUUAAACAUCCUGUUAAAUUCAAUAAGAAUAUAACAAAAAGAUGUCCGCGGGAAUGUAUUAUGACGCUCGUGCAUUGCCUAGGAAACAAAAGAUAUCCAAACCAAGAUGGAAGCAAUGGAUUGAACUGAUUUUGAAUAGUGGUGGAAAGUUUGGACUGUCUAAAGCGUGCAUAGUAAAACAUUCUGGGGAUAUUGUAGCCUCGGUUGUAGGACUAGAAAUAAACUUACAAGAAUUCCAGGACCUCCACAAGGCGUUCAACUGUACGAAUAUCGAUGUAGUGAGAGUCGGCGGAAUAACAUAUUGCGUUAAAAGCCAAAAUAGCAAACAGAUGAUAGCCUUCAAUGGCGGAAAAUACCUCAUCAUUACCAGAUCUAAAACUCUUUUUAUAAUCAGUAUCUGUACGUGUAAGAACAAAUUAGAUCUGGCAGCAGCCUGGUUGCAGAGAAUUGGCGAUAGCAUAGAUUGACACUUAAUAUACUUUUAACAAAAUCAUUCCUAGUAGUCGAGGUAUGUGGAGCAAUUUUCUUAAUGCCAAAAUGAAUUCUACAUGUAAAUGUGCUCCAGUCAUGAUUGUAUUAGUCUAAACUUAGUUUCAGAAGAGUGGGUGUAUCAUCAAAUAUCAGCAAAACGAGUCUUUGAUAAAAGUGUAUCAUCUAAAUAUAACUAGGACGAAGACCCGGAAGUCUUAAUCAAUUCAUCACAUGAGUCAAAACAUAAUUAUAAAGACGUCGUACGUACAUACUUAAAAUAACGAUGUAUGCACAUACAAACCUAAGUAUAAGAUAGCGACGUUGUAUGUACAUCCAACAUUAUGUAUGAUAAAGACAUUGAAUGUACAUCCCAGCAUAAGUAUAAGAUAGCGACGUGGUGUGUACAUCCAACCAUUGCGUAUGAUAAAGACAUUGAAUGUACAUCCCAGCAUAAGUAUGAUAAGAUAGCAACGUUGUAUGUACAUCCAAAAAUUAAGUAUGAAUGUACGAUAGAGACUUAGUAUGUACGUCCAACAUAAGUAUGAUAGGAUAGAGACUUAGUAUGUACAUCCAAACAUGAGUAUGAUAGGAUAGAGACUUAGUAUGUACAUCCAAACAUGAGUAUGAUAAGAUAGAGACUUUGUAUAUACACCCAAACAUAAGUAUAAGAUAGAGACGUUGUAUGCACAUUAAAACAUGAUAUGUCCACCCAUACAUAAGCAUGAUACGACGGUACGCUGACACCCAAGUUCAUUGGAUGUCUGAACAUUAAGUAUGUAUGACAAAGACGUUGGGUGUACAUCCUAGCAUUAGUAUGCUCAGAUAAAGAUACGUCCUUAAGACGUUGUAUGUGCAUACUAAUAUAAGUAUGAUAAGACGUUGUAUGUGCAUAUUAAUAUAAGUAUGAUAAGACGUUGUAUGUGUAUACUAAUAUAAGUAUGAUAAGACGUUGUAUGUGCAUACUAAUAUAAGUAUGAUAAGACGUUGUUUUAUUUAUUUAUUUAUUUUUAGAAAUGGGAUUUAACGGCCACGCGACACAAACUAGGUCAUUUCGGGAGUAACAUAUGGUUUAAUUUUAUUUACAUAAUUCGCUUGCGCGUAGGGGUAUUUAGCAGUGGGAGGAAACCGGAGGACCCGGAGAAAACCCACGAGGUUGGACAUGCGACCCUACUCCUUGUCACGUACAACCGGGGAUUCGAAACCACGCCAGUCGACUCAAUGACAGACUUUAUGAUACAACACGCACACGCUAACCAUUCAGCCCCCCCCCCGAUAAGACGUUGUAUGUGCAUACUAAUAUAAGUAUGAUAAGACGAUGUAUGUGCAUACUAAUAUAAGUAAACUCAGACGUUGUAUGUGCAAAGUAUGAUAAGGCGUUGUAUGUGGAUACUAAUAUAUAAAUACGAUACGACGUGUAUGUGGAUACUAAUAUAAGUAUGAUAAGACGUUGUAUGUGCAUACUAAUAUAAGUAAACUCAGACGUUGUAUGUGCAUACUAAUAUAAGUAUGAUAAGGCGUUGUAUGUGAAUACUAAUAUAAAUAUGAUAAGACGUGUAUGUGGAUACUAAUAUAAGUAUGAUAAGACGUUGUAUGUGCAUACUAAUAUAAGUAAACUCAGACGUUGUAUGUGCAUACUAAUAUAAGUAAACUCAGACGUUGUAGGUACUAAUAUAAAUACGAUAAGACGUGUAUGUGCAUACUAAUUUAAGUACGAUAAGACGUAGUAUGUGCAUACUAAUAUAAGUAUGAUAAGACGUUAUACGAUAAGACAUUGUAGAGGCAUAUUAACUAGACAUCCUAACAUUAGUAUGACAAAGAUGUAAAGUACACCAACCAUAAGUAUGAAGAAACAUUACGUUUGUACGUGUGAUCCUACAGAAGAUAAACAUUGUUGAGUGUAUAUCAUAAAGACAUGCAGUGGGAGUCGUGUGAACAUGUAUGUAAUUAAAUCAAAAUGGUGUGUAAUCCAGUUAUUCGUAUUUCAUCUAAUCAUGUAUAUAUAUAUAUAUAUAUAUAUAUAUAUAUAUAUAUCUAUAGUUUGAGAUCAGGUAUACAUAAAUAUAACAACUGAAUCAAAAUAUUAUUAUAGAACAUAAUAAAAGAUA